rnacentral:misc_RNA from 1 species
GAGGGAUGAUGAGGACUGUGUCGUCAGGAGGUGCGAGUCCUGAGCCCUGGAGUGGCCCCACAUGAGGAAGAAAGAAUGUGAGGAGAAGUGAGCCUAGAGACCAGUGAGGCAGGAGGGAACCAGGCUGCUCCUGGAGCCCAGGAGGGGAGUCGAGGGAGUGGGAUGGGGAGACUGCCUUGCGGGCCACUGCCAGGCCAGUGGACAGCGGACUGCAGCGAACCGCUGGACAGCAGCUGUUCCUUCUCCCGAGGGCGAGCCCCCCCACAGCAGAAUGGCAGCAAAGACAACUCUCUGGACAUGCUGGGCACGGACAUCUGGGCGGCCAACACCUUCGAUUCCUUCAGUGGUGCCACCUGGGACCUGCAGCCGGAAAAGCUGGACUUCACCCAGUUCCACCGCAAAGUCCGACACACGCCCAAGCAGCCCCUGCCACACAUCGACCGCGAAGGGUGUGGCAAAGGGAAGCUGGAAGAUGGGGAUGGCAUCAACCUGAAUGACAUCGAGAAGGUCCUUCCAGCCUGGCAGGGCUACCACCCGAUGCCCCAUGAAGUGGAGAUCGCACAC